AGAGUUUGAUCAUGGCUCAGAUUGAACGCUGGCGGCAUGCCUUACACAUGCAAGUCGAACGGCAGCGCGGACUUCGGUCUGGCGGCGAGUGGCGAACGGGUGAGUAAUACAUCGGAACAUGUCCAGUAGUGGGGGAUAGCCCGGCGAAAGCCGGAUUAAUACCGCAUACGAUCUACGGAUGAAAGCGGGGGAUCUUCGGA
rnacentral:rRNA from 1 species